AUUGAACGCUGGCGGAAUGCUUUACACAUGCAAGUCGAACGGCAGCACGGACUUCGGUCUGGUGGCGAGUGGCGAACGGGUGAGUAAUGUAUCGGAACGUGCCCAGUCGUGGGGGAUAACGUAGUGAAAAUUACGCUAAUACCGCAUACGAUCAAUGGAUGAAAGCGGGGGAUCGCAAGACCUCGCGCGAUUGGAGCGGCCGAGAUCAGAUUAGGUAGUUGGUGGGGUAAAGGCCCACCACGCCAACGAUCUGUAGCUGGUCUGAGAGGACGACCAGACACACUGGAACUGAGACACGGUACAGACUCCUACGGGAGGCAGCAGUGGGGAAUUUUGGACAAUGGGCGAAAGCCUGAUCCAGCCAUUCCGCGUGCAGGGUGAAGGCCCUCGGGUUGUAAACUGCUUUUGUACAGAACGAAAAGGUUUCUACUAAUACUAGGAGCUCAUGACGGUACUGUAAGAAUAAGCACCGGCUAACUACGUGCCAGCAGCCGCCGCCG
rnacentral:rRNA from 1 species